rnacentral:rRNA from 1 species
UACGAAGGGAGCUAGCGUUGUUCGGAAUCACUGGGCGUAAAGCGCACGUAGGCGGAUUUGUAAGUCAGGGGUGAAAUCCCGGGGCUCAACCUCGGAACUGCCUUUGAUACUGCAAAUCUCGAGUCCGAUAGAGGUGGGUGGAAUUCCGAGUGUAGAGGUGAAAUUCGUAGAUAUUCGGAAGAACACCAGUGGCGAAGGCGGCUCACUGGACUGGUAUUGACGCUGAGGUGCGAAAGCGUGGGGAGCAAACAGG